CAAAUUCAGGCGCUGCACCUGCCAGAGGGAGUGCUAGGGCAGACGCUCCGCGCGGCGAGCUCCACCACCCCCGCCCGUCCAUGGCGCCGCCAGUCACCUAUGUAUCUUAACUACCAUGUACCCACUCGCCGCCUCUGUCGGGUGAUGUAAUAAAACGUGGCGCGCACCCGCCGGCGCGUCACCGGUGUACGUAGCAUGAUGCAUGCCACGCGUUGCUUCCAGUGAUAAAAUCAAUGGAUUACUCGUACGAUCUCUUGCGUGCUCGGUAGCAUGGAAAAAUAUCUCCACGAAAUUUCUCG
rnacentral:lncRNA from 1 species